rnacentral:rRNA from 1 species
GGGCUCGCACAAGCGGUGGAGCAUGUGGUUUAAUUCGAUGCAACGCGAAGAACCUUACCUACCCUUGACAUUCUUGGAAUCCUCUAGAGAUAGAGGAGUGCCUUCGGGAACCAAUGAACAGGUGCUGCAUGGCUGUCGUCAGCUCGUGUCGUGAGAUGUUGGGUUAAGUCCCGUAACGAGCGCAACCCUCGCCCUUAGUUACCAGCGGUUCGGCCGGGAACUCUAAGGGGACCGCCGGUGAUAAACCGGAGGAAGGUGGGGAUGAUGUCAAGUCAGCAUGGCCCUUACGGGUAGGGCUACACACGUGCUACAAUGGGCAGUACAAAGGGUUGCCAAGCCGCGAGGCGGAGCUAAUCCGACAAACCUAGUCGUAGUCCGGAUCGGAGUCUGCAACUCGACUCCGUGAAGUCGGAAUU